GGCCCUGUCGUCUAAUGGCUAGGACACCAGGUUUUCAUCCUGGCAAUCGGGGUUCGACUCCCCGUGGGGUCACCA
rnacentral:tRNA from 1 species